ensembl:lncRNA
UCACAAUAUGCCUGGCAUGUGUUGUCAGCGAAAACGCUCCCUCCUUCUCUCUCUCUCGCUCUCUCACUCCCUCUCUCUCUCUCUCUCUCUCUCUCUCUCUCUCUCUUUUGCUCAAUCAUCUCUCCUUCUCUCACUUUCCUUUUCCACAUGGGCUCACCAGCAGUAAGGGGUGAGCCAAGACCCACUUCCUGCUCCGUGCUCCAAUUAGAACUGCCUGUGCAGAUUGGCUUUCAAUUACAUUGUAAAUGUCAUCCCAACAACCAGCAGGGGUUAGGGCAGGGUUCACCGGCUGUGUCACCCAUUUGGUUACCUGCUGCGCGUGGCUACUGAGCUAAGCUAAGGCUCGGAGUGUCACUAUGAAAAUAAACAAAUGAAAGAGUAAAUAAUAUAAAACAUUUAAAGGUUCUUGUUCUUCAUCCAGGUCUUUACAAAGGUUCACCUUAGAUGUUUUUUUCCUCCUGAAUAAACCAGUUUGCCAGUGUUGGCAAAUUAGUUCUAGAAGGUACUAAGGGUUCCUAGAGUGUUUUCCUGUUAUAUAAGAAUGCAAAAGUGUCGUAACCCAUUAAAUAUCAUUCUUUUGAACUGUUGUAACACCCUGUGCAGUUAUUUGUUUUUGUCUCAGGAACUCCUCUGUAAUCACUAAUAUUCUAUUGUUAUAGACUCAAAAUAUGGAGCAAAAAUAUAGCCUUCUGAAGACCAUGAGUUUUUCCCUGUUUUACAUGACUUUUGGGCUAGUGUCUUUUUGACAACAAAACAAUAUAAUUUUUUCAUAAAUGAGCUAGCAUAAAUGUUUCUUUUUCCAUUUGCAUAGUUUUAAGCCUCUAGGUAUUCUCACAUUAAGAUAUAACAUUAACACACUUAGGCCAGCUCAUAUCCUCACUCAUCCUUCAAUUUCCUUUCAAUAUUGAAAUUUCCUGCAAUGAUAAACAUCAUAGAUCCAUCAGGGGCAUGGCUGCAUCGGUACGGAAAGCCCUGCACCUUCUUCACAGCACCACAGCUUCCCCGCUCAACAGCAGGGUCCUGGUUGCCAUGGUUGCGGCAGCCAUUUACACACCUGCUGCUUCUCUGCCAAAGCCGCUCUCGUGGUGUGGAGUAAGAGCGAGAGAGCGAGGGAGAGAGCGAGGGAGAAGUCUCCGAACGGGUCUCCUCCGUGCGCCUGCCAAGACGGCCUCAAAAUGUCUCUUUGAGGCACGAGCACUCGUCUGAAGAAAAAGGUUAGCGGCAUCCCCGUUUCCACAAAUUAGACAUUUAUUACCUUUGGCAGGAUCAAUCUGACCCGCCAACCUCGCGCCCGCACACACACACACACACACACACAC